AGAAAAGAGAUCUUAGCACAAAUUUUCCUGUUUUCUAAAAUGAAAUUGCCCCUGCCCCCCACAGACCCCCUGCUCUUGGUCCUGUGAUACCGUGCUCAUCUGAGUUGUUUCAAGGAUAGGUGUGAUUUCACCACUCGAGUAGGAACUGGGAUCUGUUUCUCAGAGGACACCUCCUUUGAGUUUUAAUAUCAUCUUCCAUUUCUAGAGAUGGAGUGCUAGGAAGGGGUACCUGAAUUGUAUCCAGUACUUCUGAGUAGACCCAGGUCUGAGUAGACUCACUGUCUAUCCUAACUUAGGACUGUCUUCUCUCAAUGCUGUAGAGGUAACUAUGGAGUUAACGGAAUAUUCUGUAUUGAACGCACAGGGUGAUGGGGACUGGAAACUUUUACCUAUGAGUGAGCUGACGUGAAAAUGGUGAGAGCUGGGCAUAGGCAGCUGCAGGACAAGCACUGGAGUAAACUCUGCAUUCCCUAACUUGACAGGUACACAGAUACGACAGAAGAAUUAAAGAUCAUUGUGUAAAUGCUCCUGCUCUGAAACUGAGCUGACGCAGGUGCUAAUGUUGGCUUUGUCAUUUUUCCAGGUACAUGGGUGUAGACAAUUACUCAGCGUCUUCAUUUCUCGGGGACCAGGUGAACUGUACCUGAAUGCAGAGAGCUGUGCAAAUAAAUACGAUGAAUGCAAAUUAGCAUCAUCUAAGUACUCAACGAAUGUUAGUGAUGAAUGCCUCCAGACUUAUCUCAUCCUGUCUCCAUAGGAGGAACUCAGUGUAGGAUGGACAAGAAUUGGCAGGGCCUUAAAUCAUUUUAAGUGUAGCCUGAUGACCUGAGGUCUCCAUCCUCAGAGCCUACUUUGUGGAAGGAGAGAACUAACUUUGGCAAGCUGUCCUCUGAUCUACACAUGUAUGUGGUAGUAGAGAGACAGACAGACACACACACACACACAUUAAACCUACAGCCAACACAUUUUUGACUAGAAUGAAUUUCUGAUUAUUAAAGUUAAAAGACAGAAUGCAAACGAAAGUGUGCAAGAGUGUAAGAUGGGCUGAGGCUGGGCUCUGGCCUGCUGUCUUUACUGUUUAGAGUUUCAACAUUCUUCCCCUCACUCCUUCUGUACUCAGUCAACAGGUCCUCUAAAUACCUGAGGUAAUUUCCCCCAUGAUUCGUCUCAGUAAGUAACAGUAACAAUGUGUCUUUUCCUAUAGAGAAAGAGACAGGAGUCAAGUAAUCAGCUUAAUUUUACCUUCUCACAACUCAAACCCAGAUACCCAAUAACCAUCUCUUCAACAAAUUUGACUUGUUUAAGAGGAGCAGCCUGAUAAUGGUUCAUAUGCACCAUGAGGAAGAAAGAUAGUUUUCCCAUCCUAAGCAGAUUCCAGACAGCAGCGCACAGCUGGCUGAGUGCACGAAGAAGAGCCUGGUGCUGAGCCCUAGAAUAGCACUGCUUCUGUGCUCUUUUGCUUGGGCUCCUGAUUUGAAAAAAAGCUCCUUGAGGGGUUUGAUGUAAAGUGAGUUUUCAGUAUGUCACAAAUCACUUCCUGCCUUCCUUCAGGAUCCAUUGGACUUGCUGGGUUGUGUAAAUUCAAACAGCUACCCACUUCUUUGGCAGCAAUGCAGAGAUGCAGGAUAUGGAACAUGUGAAAUCUAGCCAUCAAAUGUGUCUGGGAGUAAAGCUUUCUCUUUGUCUCUCUGGUGAUGGUCUAACAGUGGCGUAUUUAUUAGAAGCACUGUGGGGUUAAGAAGCACUAGGCUAAUUUUUCAGGUUCACUUUAGUGAAGUGGAAGAAGUACGAGACUUGCCUGGCUUUAGUGGAGACCCACUCAGACCAACUAAAGACUGUAUUUCUUGAAAGCUACCUGAACACACUUCAUACUCAAGUGUGACAAGAACACCUGGACUGUGAGUGAUUUUGCAGAGUGAGGCCCACUGCACAGAUUCAUCUGUCCCCUUUUAUUACUAGUGUUCCUUCUAAUGUUCUAAAGAAGUGAACCAUAUGACUAUUCUACAGACAGUUGGGCAUAUAAGAGGAGGACUUAGCAAUGAAAAUAAAACCUCACCCAUGCAUUUGGCACCAGUUAGUAACAAUUAUUAUAGAUUCAGGUCAGAGGGCCCUUUUCCAGUACACUUAGGACUCUCCCUAAGAGGGAAGCACAGUAUUAGAACCAGUCAGAAGGCUCUGUAUCAAUUGUCCUGACUGAAUACAUUCAGUGGGUUAGUAACAUCAGGUCCUUGUUUCUUUGUGUUAUCCAUAAACUUCUUUACUUGUUUUGUAUCCUAUUUAGAUACUAUAUGCAAUUCUUACCUCUAUAACAAAAUACUAAGAUUUUUGAGGACAAAGAUUCUACCUCAUGUUCAAGUCUACCAACACACACACAAACACAUGCACACACACACACACACACACAGAGAGAGAGAGAGAGAGAGAGAGAGAGAGAGAGAGAGAGAGAGAGUGAAUGAAUGAAUGAAUACAUGAUAGGUCAUGGAUAGACUUACAUAAAAUGAGUGAUCUGAAUAAUAGCACACAAUUUUAAUCAAGUGUUAUAAAGAAUAUUGUUUGUUUAGCCAAUCAUUGUUUUAAUUCCCCUAUUGAUACACUGGUACCAAAUAUUCACUGUUUUUCACAAUCAUUUGUUAAAUGUAUACUUAUUAGACAGACAUCCUUUACCUUACAUACUGACAUUUAUUACAGGUUAAAUGUAUACUUAUUAGACAGACAUCCUUUACCUUACAUACUGACAUUUAUUACAGGUCUUGGAGCCAAGUUGGCAACAAGGAGGCUCUCUUCUGUUCUGUUCCUGUAUGAAUUCAGAGUGAGGGCCGUGAACUGUUUAGAAAGGAUGAGGAGGUGUGUCAUUGAGGAUGGUCUUUGAGUUUUCAAAAGCCCAUGCCAGACUCAGCUGCAUGUGAGUAGUGCUUAUGGACCAAAUGUAAGUUGUCAGCUAUUUUUCCAGUGCCAUGCCAUGCUUGCCUGCCUGCCACCAUGCUUCCUGCCAUAAUGAUCAUGGACUAAUCCUCUGAAAGUGUAAGCCAGACCCAAUUAAAUGCUUUAAGGUUGUUUUAGUUAUGGUGUCUCUUCACAACAACAGAACAGGAAUUAAAACAGCAAGCAAUCGAUGUCACCCAUCUACCAUGAUCAGCCCACAAUGCUUCAGCAGGAAAAUGACAAGUAAAAAAAAAUAUCAAGUCAAUACUGCUGUGGUGCCUUCUAAUCAAACAGCAUUAAGAGAAAGCAGUGCCUGUCCAUCAUCCCCAAUGCACAAUGACAUCCAGUCAUGAAACUGAACUGGUGAAUGCAGAAGAAAGGCCAGUGGCUAACUACUCAGCUGUACCUCGCCACACCAUCACUGCGGAGCAGUUCAUAUUCUGACCUUGAAUACAGAUCAACGAGAGAGAAGAGUGGAGACAUGUUUCACCAGAUGUGCUAACCAUAAUGCCUGGAGUAGCAGCUGACCACCUUCCAGAGGGAAACAACAGCUAAAGCUGGCUCCUCCUCCCCACCUGACUUAAUCGAAAGUAGCAGACAUUAAUAUAUUAGACAGUUGGUUGCC